CGUAGCUUUGCCACCAAACUCUGUACAUGUCUUUGUUUUAAGUUUGCAAGAGGUUUUCUAAAUAAUCUUAGGCCAACCACCGUAUUGUAGGAGCAAGGUGAUACAAGCAUAACCAAGGAAGACAUAAUUCAGUAUGGAACCAUUUAGUAAAUCUGUUAAUGAUUCUGCAAUAAUUUCCAAGAAUGACAAUAUUACUAUAUUGCAAGUAUAUUACAAUAGUACACAGUUCUAGAAUGUUGAUGAUUCCACAUAUUGGAAAUGAUGAUCAAUUAUUUAAUGAUAAUAUUGAAGACAAAAUUGCUGAUGAAACAGCCUCUAAUAAUUAUAACCAAUUACUACAAAAAGAAUCAAAAGGGAAGAUUGGAUAUUGUUUAUCAAUCAUGUUAAGAAGGAGGAAAUGAAAUUUUGGAAAAUAAGACUUUUUUUUUAUUUUUGAUGACCUCACUGAUAAUCUGGGUAUACAUCUUCUGAAUUAUCCGACGAUGAUUGCGAUGAUGAUGAUGAUGCCAAUUUUUAAUUAAUAUACUUAUAAAAAAUGGUACAGAGACCUACUUAACCCUUAAUCAAAAAAUAAUUAAAUAAUUACAAGACAAAAGUGUCAUUGAUGGGUGGCUUCUUCAAUCAAAUUUUUCAAUUUUAUAUUUAUUGUAGCUCAUACUCUUAUUGUGCCGGAAGUACAGAUUGUGUAUAUAUAUUAAUAAAGAAAAAAA